UACGUAGGGUGCAGGCGUUAAUCGGAAUUACUGGGCGUAAAGCGUGCGCAGGCGGCCUCUUAAGUCAGAUGUGAAAUCCCCGGGCUUAACCUGGGAACUGCGUUUGAAACUGGGAGGCUAGAGUGUGGAAGAGGGGGGUGGAAUUCCAGGUGUAGCAGUGAAAUGCGUAGAGAUCUGGAGGAACACCGAUGGCGAAGGCAGCCCCCUGGGCUGAAACUGACGCUCAUGCACGAAAGCGUGGGGAGCAAACAGG
rnacentral:rRNA from 1 species